rnacentral:rRNA from 1 species
UGGGGAAUUUUGCACAAUGGGGGAAACCCUGAUGCAGCGACGCCGCGUGAUUUAGAAGGCUUUCGGGUUGUAAAAAUCUUUUCUAUGGGAAGAAAAUGACAGUACCAUAGGAAUAAGGACCGGCUAAUUACGUGCCAGCAGCCGCGGUAAUACGUAAGGUCCGAGCGUUGUCCGGAAUCAUUGGGCGUAAAGGGUACGUAGGCGGGUAAGCAAGUCAGAAGUGAAAUCCUAUAGCUCAACUAUAGUAAGCUUUUAAAACUGCUCAUUUUGAGGUAUGGAAGGGAAAGUGGAAUUCCUAGUGUAGCGGUGAAAUGCGCUGAUAUUAGGAGGAAUACCGGUGGCGAAGGCGACUUUCUGGCCAUAACCUGACGCUGAGGUACGAAAGCGUGGGUAGCAAAGAGG